AAGCACGUAGGUGGGUUUGUAAGUCAGAUGUGAAAGCCUUCUGUUCAAAGGAAGAACGGCAUCUGAAACUGCAGAUCUUGAGUGUAGGAGGGGAGAGUGGAACUUCUGGUGGAGCGGUGAAAUGCGUAGAUAUCAGAAGGAACGUCGGCGGCGAAAGCGACUCUCUGGCCUAUUACUGACACUGAGUGUGCGAAAGUUAGGGGAGCAAACGGGAUUGGAUACCCCGGUAGUCCUAACUGUAAACGAUGGGCACUAAGUAGAGGGGUUUU
rnacentral:rRNA from 1 species